AGUAUCGCGUAGGGAUUUAUCGUUGGGUGGGGGGAGUAACCGCGGGAAACUGCGGCUAAUACCGCAUGACGCCUGAGGGCCAAAGGUCGUGAGACUGCCUGAUGAGGAGCCUGCGUCCGAUUAGCUAGUAGGUUGGGUAAUGGCUGACCUAGGCUGUGAUCGGUAGCUGGUCUGAGAGGAUGAUCAGCCACACUGGGACUGAGACACGGCCCAG
rnacentral:rRNA from 1 species